rnacentral:rRNA from 1 species
UACGUAGGUGGCAAGCGUUAUCCGGAUUUAUUGGGUGUAAAGGGCGUGUAGGCGGGAGCGCAAGUCAGAUGUGAAAACUCAGGGCUCAACCCUGAGCCUGCAUUUGAAACUGUGUUUCUUGAGUGCUGGAGAGGCAAUCGGAAUUCCGUGUGUAGCGGUGAAAUGCGUAGAUAUACGGAGGAACACCAGUGGCGAAGGCGGAUUGCUGGACAGCAACUGACGGUGAGGCGCGAAAGCGUGGGGAGCAAACAGG